GUCCGCCAGAAAAUUACGAGCGAAAGCCUAAAACUCAAAAGACUUGACGGUGUCCCAACCUACCUAGAGGAGCCUGUUCCAUAAUCGAUAACCCCCGAUAAACCUAACCACCCCUUGAAAUAUCAGCCUAUAUACCGCCGUCGACAGCCCACCUUCUAAAAGAAACAAAGCAGGCCAAAUAGAAUUUCUCUAAAAAGUCAGGUCAAGGUGUAGCUAAUGGGGUGGAGACAAUGGGCUACAUUUUUUAAAAUAAAACAUACGAAUUAGUACUUUGAAACAAGACUAUGAAGGUGGAUUUAGCAGUAAGUCAAAAAAUAAUACUUG
rnacentral:rRNA from 1 species